rnacentral:rRNA from 1 species
GCAGUAGCCGCGGGAAUACGAAGGGGGCUAGCGUUGUUCGGAUUUACUGGGCGUAAAGCGCACGUAGGCGGACUUUUAAGUCAGGGGUGAAAUCCCGGGGCUCAACCCCGGAACUGCCUUUGAUACUGGAAGUCUUGAGUAUGGUAGAGGUGAGUGGAAUUCCGAGUGUAGAGGUGAAAUUCGUAGAUAUUCGGAGGAACACCAGUGGCGAAGGCGGCUCACUGGACCAUUACUGACGCUGAGGUGCGAAAGCGUGGGGAGCAAACAGGAUUAGAUACCCGGGUAGUCCCUGUCUCUUAUCC